UGUCUAGGGAUGGGAAUCGAACCCACAGUGUUCCGCUUACCGGGCAGAUGCCAUGUCCACUAGGCUACCCUGGAC
rnacentral:tRNA from 1 species